rnacentral:rRNA from 1 species
GACGAACGCUGGCGGCGUGCCUAAUACAUGCAAGUAGAACGCUGAAGGAGGAGCUUGCUUCUCCGGAUGAGUUGCGAACGGGUGAGUAACGCGUAGGUAACCUGCCUGGUAGCGGGGGAUAACUAUUGGAAACGAUAGCUAAUACCGCAUAAUAGUAGAUGUUGCAUGACAUUUGCUUAAAAGGUGCAAUUGCAUCACUACCAGAUGGACCUGCGUUGUAUUAGCUAGUUGGUGGGGUAACGGCUCACCAAGGCAACGAUACAUAGCCGACCUGAGAGGGUGAUCGGCCACACUGGGACUGAGACACGGCCCAGACUCCUACGGGAGGCAGCAGUAGGGAAUCUUCGGCAAUGGGGGCAACCCUGACCGAGCAACGCCGCGUGAGUGAAGAAGGUUUUCGGAUCGUAAAGCCCUGUUGUAAGAGAAGAACGAGUGUGAGAGUGGAAAGUUCACACUGUGACGGUAUCUUACCAGAAAGGGACGGCUAACUACGUGCCAGCAGCCGCGGUAAUACGUAGGUCCCGAGCGUUGUCCGGAUUUAUUGGGCGUAAAGCGAGCGCAGGCGGUUAGAUAAGUCUGAAGUUAAAGGCUGUGGCUUAACCAUAGUACGCUUUGGAAACUGUUUAACUUGAGUGCAAGAGGGGAGAGUGGAAUUCCAUGUGUAGCGGUGAAAUGCGUAGAUAUAUGGAGGAACACCGGUGGCGAAAGCGGCUCUCUGGCUUGUAACUGACGCUGAGGCUCGAAAGCGUGGGGAGCAAACAGG